GAAGGAAAAUCAUUACCAUCUUCAUUUUUUCGAAUUGAAAAAAUAAAUAAAGUAGGGUUUAAUUUUACUGUUGUUUGAUUUAGUCCUCAGCACCAUUCGUGGUAUUUUUACUUAUUCACUACCCGAUAAAUAAAACCCAUUUUUUAAUUUUAUGGAUUUUGGUGUGAUUUUGUUUUUUAAUGUUUUCUUGGUGAUUGAAUUUUGGGUUUCUAGCCGUCCCCAAUUUUAGUCGACCCAGGCAGCAAAGAGAGUUUGCCCCUGUUUGCUUUCCUUUUCUCACCAGAUAUCUCUGCCAGCAUGAUCCGCCAAACUUGCCGAUCGCGUCUGCUCUCGCUGACCAGGUCUUCGACUCCCUAAAAGGCUGAUUAACACCAGCAACCACAACACCAACAAUGACUAAUGCAACUUAGUCGCAGGUGAGGAUUGCAAGGUUUUUUCAUUUCUCUGGUAUUGAUUCAUCGAGUUUGCAUGUGGCUGAAAAUGGUGUUUCAGUUGCGAGGAACAACACAUUUACAAAGUAUAUUCAAGAAUGUGUGGUCGGUUGUUUCUGAUGUUAUGAUUUUGUUAUCAAUUUAAAAACCGUGGUUUGUACUUUUAGUAUUACUUUGGCAUUUUGGUGUAAUGGAUUUUUUUGUACCUAAUUGCAGACCUUUCGUUUGCUCAUGAUUUAGUAGUUGACUGAGUAUCCAUGUUUAUACAUACGUUGAUCUUUUUUUAGGCAACGUGUUCAUUUGGCUAAAAUUUUGUGAUCAGUUUUCUUCCCUGGAAAUUUUCCAAUUAGUUUAAUUCUAUUUGAAUAUGUAUUAUUUCUUUGUUCAACAUGGAUACCUUUUGGUUUGUUGGUUAGGCAUUUUGAGUGCUUAUCAGUUAUUCACUAAAGGUGGUUUUAUUGGAACUACUUGAACUUCUUCGGAUGCCUGUCUUAAAAGCAAAUGGAGAGGGUGUAGCACUGUGUAUGCAGUUAAAUGAUGAUGUUGUAUUUGAUAUGCACAAAAUGAUUUCAUCAAUUGUGUUGUAUCUACUAUAUGUAUGCAAAACAUAUUGCUAGCUAAGCUUAUUGUUAUUAACCCUUCCCUCCUACCUUUCGAUUUCUGUUAUGAUGUGCAGGCUAUUGAAUUUGGGAGAAAGCUUGCAUGCAAACUCUUUUUUGCAUAAUGUUCUUGAGUGAGUCCCUUGAACUUUGCCUUGAAGUGUCUGUAUAUUCUCAUCCACUUUGUUGUAUUGCUAGGAAAUUUUGAGUGGAAAGAAGUUCAAAGAAAAAUACUCAAGCAAAAUUACAUUUGAUCUACAAAUGGUUGGACUGACAUAUUUCUUAAACAAUGAAGGCGUGAAAUAUAAGUGGACAAUUACAAUUUUUGUUUUCAUGUCAAACCAACUUGCGUCACAUAUAUUUUGCCAUUGUUGACAUAUUUUCUUCCUUUGUUUUGAACAAUGCUUUUAUGUUACACCGGGAAAAAUCUAUUUGAGGAUGGGAACCACCUGUAUUGGUUCUUGGAUGAUGAUCCAAUUGUAUCUCGGUUUCAGAAUAGGAAGGGAUAACCGAGUUGAGUUCAUGGAUUAGAGUAGUGUGCAUGUGCAGAUGCUUUUUAUUUUUUCAAUUGAUGCUUUAGCAGUUUCUAUUAUCUACUUUUUCGGCUAUAAAUCGUAUAUAUUAUUUCAAAA